CCAGGCGGUCGGGCGGCCGCGGCGGAUGCUUGCAUCCGGCGAGGAAAGUCCGGGCUCCACGAAACAACGGUGCCGGAUAACGUCCGGCGGCUCUCCUCGCGGGAGUCAGGGACAGUGCAACAGAGAGCAGGUCACGUAUGCCUUCGGGCUAGGGCUUCGGCCGCGUGAACAGUGAAAGGGUGCGGUAAGAGCGCACCGCGUCCCCGGCAACGGCGGACGGCACGGUAAACCCCACCGGGAGCAAGACCGAAUAGGGGCGGCGCGCAGAUCUUCGGAUCUGCUAGGCUUGUUUCGGCCGAGAUCGCCCGGGUUGGUUGCUUGAGGCCGUGCGAGAGCACGGUCCUAGAGGAAUGGUCGCCCAUCCGUUCGCGCGUCCCUUGCGGGAUACGGCGGCGGUGGACAGAACCCGGCUUACAGACCGCCUGGCCUU
rnacentral:RNase_P_RNA from 1 species